GGGGACGGCUGGGGGCUGGGGGGGAGGGGCAGCCUGGCACAGCUCUUGCAGGGCAGUGGGGUUCUGCCAGGCACUGCAGCCCCACAGAGGGCCUGGCUGCUCCUGUGGGCUCUGAGCUGCUGCUGAUACAGGGACAGCUGUCCCCCUUUGCUGCAGCUGGCGGGGAGCUGCAGGUGAAGCUGCGGAGCGUGGCGGGGCAGCGCACAGCAUGGAGCGUGGCAGGGCAGAGGAGCCAAGGCUGGCAAGGCAGCACGGUGCCUUUGGAGAGUUCCAGCGAGUUCCAGGUGAGCGGGUGUCCUCCCAGGAUGCUGGGUGCCCUCCCUGCACACUGAGCCCAGCAUCGCACCUUCCCACAGAUUGUCUUUGAGAUCACCUCGCGGAUGUGGCCAAUGGAGGGGACCGUGGCACUGGAUGAUAUCGAGUACAGUGCCACUGGAGGCUGUGACUCCAAUCCAGAGGCACCAGGGAAAGUGAAGUCUUCCAGUGGCUUUGUGGCAGAAGUGGUGCUUGGCCUGCUGCUGGCUGUCAUCGUGCUGGCACUGGCAGCAGCUGUUUGCCGGUACUGGCUGAAAAGGAGAGCGCAGGGGAGCGGGAUGGCCAUGGAGAGCAACACUCCUCAGGGCUUCGACAACAUCACUUUUCAAGAUGACAAGGUCAUUAUAGCACAAGUGCCAAAAGAGCGGGAUGAAGACUGAACUAAGCCAGCACCACCCUCCACCUCUUCGCGCCCACGAGGUGUGCCCAGGGCAGAGCAUCCCUCCCGCAGAACCUCGCACUCCAUCCAGCCCGCAGCUGCAGCCCCACAGCACGCUCACUGCCCCACGUCUCACACCGCAGAGCAGCAGCAGGCAGCAGCCCCGGGGGCACAGCGCGGCCGUUUCCACCACUACCUCCACACACGUGGGAACAGCACUGCUGUUUUUUGUAACAUGAACUUUCCACA
rnacentral:lncRNA from 1 species